UAAAUAUUCCAUUUAGAAGAAAAGGCCACAUCUCAAAAUUUUCAAAACAUUCAAGGACCAAAAAAGAAAAUCCCGUCAAACAAAACUGACUCCUUCUGGAUCUUGAACAUGGACACGCGCAUCAAAUCUUGGCCGUCAUUCUCUAUUCCUAAAAAUCUAACCGACCAGAGACUCUUAUCGUGCCCUAUAAAAACAACCAUCGGCAUCCUCCUUGCUUGAGAAAGUCAGACGUUUUCAGAUCUGGGGAAUCCGAAGCGGAAAAUAGGAAAAAUGCUUAUCAAAGCAAUUGAUUCUAAUUUUUCGGUUUUAGAUUGAAAAACGAAAAGAAUCAAAGGAAAAUAACGGAUCAAUAAUUCGUUUGAAUCUUGCGACAAAUUUCAAUUCUUGAGCUGAAAAAUUAGGGCUUCUUCUUUUCUUUUGGAUUUCUUUGGUUUCGUUUCUUUUUUUUUUUUUUUUGAUAAAAAAUGAAUGAUCAGUCUCAGAUGAUGAAUCAGCCACCGCAAAUGUUGAUGAACCCGGUUCAGCCGCAGAUGAUGAAUCAGUCUCAUCAGUUGAUGGCGGCUCACUCUCAGGCGAUGAACCAAUUGGCGGCGGCUCAGUCGCAGUCGGUGAGCUCUGUUCAUCAGAUGAUGACUCAGCUACAUCCUCCGAUGAUGAUGAACCGAAGCUACAGGCCUUGGCAAUCCCAGGACCCAAACCAAAACGCAAACCCUAACAAGAAAUUCCCGUCUUUCAAUCGUAAUAACAAUUGGAAGGGCAAAAAAGUUUCAGCCGGUAAAGAUUCUAGAACGUUCGAUAAUAAGCCUUUACCGAUGGGUUCUGUUUCUGCCAUUUCUUCCGUUUCCUUGGCUUCCGGUACUAAUAUUCAAGGAUACAGACCUCCAACUCUUAACGAGCUCCAAUCUCAGAAUCGGUUAAAAGCUAGGAAAUUCUACGGCAACAAGAAGAAAUUCAACAACAACAACAACAACCGCUUUGCUCCUUACGCGCCGCGGAAUACUACUUCGUUCAUAAUCCGAGCGAAAAAAUCGGGUGGGAUAGCGUCCUUGGUGUCGCCAUGUCCGGUGACACCUGCGGUGCUUCCUACGCCGAUAUUUUCACCGUCGAGGGAGGUUUUGGGUGAUAUGGCCAAGGAAGAAUGGGGUGUGGAUGGUUAUGGGUCGAUGAAAGGGUUGAUUCGGCUUCGGUCACCAGAAGCAGGUCAUGAUGACGAGGAAGAUGAGGAUGGGGGAAAUGGUGGGGGAUCGAGUGAGAGCGAUGUGGAAGAACACGUGGAAGUGGAGAGGAGAUUGGACCAUGAUUUAAGUAGGUUUGAGAUGAUAUAUCCAAGUUAUGGAGGUGAUUAUAACAAUGUUUUGGAGAAUAGAGUGGAUGAUCAAGAUACCCAUAUUGCUCAGUUGGAAGAAGAGAAUUUGACAUUAAAGGAAAGGUUGUUUUUAAUGGAGAGGGAAUUGGGGGAUUUGAGGAGGAGGUUACAGUUUUUAGAGAGGCAGAGUCAGGUAGCGGAAGAUGUUAAUGAGGAGGUUGUGGAGAAUGGGUCUGAUUUUGAGAGUGAGGGUGGUGGUUCUGAUGUUGGGGUGGUCUCUGGUGCAGCUGAUCAUAAUAAUGUGGAAAUGGUGGAGUUUGCUUCUGGAAAUGCUAGAAAUGUUGAUGUUGUUAUGGAGGAGAAUAAUAAUGGUGGAAUGCUACAGAAUGAAGUUCUAAGGGAUGUUUAUACGGACGAGAUUGCAGUGGAAGAUGAUUUUGCAAGAGAAGAUAAGCUAAAGAAUGUAGGAAGAGGGGAUGAUGAAUUAAAAGGUCAAGAUUUGAGGGAGGAAACAGUUGGAGACAAGGAAAAUGAGGCCAAGCGUGAUGAAGCAGGAGGCAGUGAGUUUGUGGGGGAGAAGAUUGUUGAAGAAGAGAGAGAUGAGUCAAGUUGUGAAGAAGUUAGAAAUGAGGUUGCUGACAAUUCUGAAACAAAGAAUGAGGAAGUGCACUUGUGAAAAAGACUGAUGAAGGUGACUAGUUUAACUGUCCCGCGUUAAUGUAGUAAGUCUUUUCCAUAAAUGAUGGCUCUUGGGAAUCUUUUGGUUAUGGUUAUUGAAACGCGCAACUUCUGGAUAUAUGCGGCCUAAGUAGAUUUACUGUAGUAUAGUUCUUAAUGUUCUUUUGCAUUUCGUUAACUUGACAGGGGCUUUCUUCUCCUUUCUCUGCUCUCAUACGAUUUAGGAAGCAUAUAUUUGUAUUGAUUUUAACUUCUUUGAAGUUUCAAAAAGAACCUUCUAGUAUGUAAGGUAUAGGAACUGAAAGGGUAAAAUCUAAAUCUUGGCCAGUGUAGCAUCUAGCAGCUUCAUAUGUUGCAUCAGCUGCAAAAUCCUCUUACCAUUGAGCUGCAAACUUAGGAGGUUUAGUUUCUUCUUGUUAUUGAAGUUCUGCCCAGUUAAAAAAACCGACUUCUGUGCACCUUGUAGUAGUAAUCAUUUUUUUAGUAUUCUCUGACUUUGUCAUAACAACUAACACGUUUUAUGCUGUUUAUCCAUCAUGAUUCAGAGAAGGAUCUUAGUAGGUUGAUAUAUACUUGUCUGGUCAUUCUGUUUGUUGUUUUAUGGAUUCUCGGUAUGUAUGAGCAUUUGAAAAUGUGCUUGUUUUGGGUGCAUGUUCAACUGCUUGAGUGUGUCAUGGAUAAGCUGGCAGCAAAAUCAUCUGCCUCUUUAUGAAGCAAGGCCUGUCUGAAGUGAUUAAUAUGGUUUCAAUAUAAGACAUACUGUAUAUAUGCUGCAUUUUCUUUUCAGCCAUCUGCUUGGCACUGGUAGUAUGUCAAGAUUAAAGAAAUCUAAAGGUUUUCAAUUUUAUGUUGGACCGGUUCAGGACUUUCUUAAGACAGGAGCAAAUGGAUACCAUUGUGUUGUUUUAUGUUUCUCAAGUGUUUUAUAUAUGUUUUAAAUUUUAAUCGUAGAGGGCAUUCUGGCACUUAUUUUCUAUUCGAGUUCAAAUUUUAAAACAAAGUUGCCUUUUUUUUUUCGUUGUCUUGGAAUUUUGGUUCAAAGCUGUUCAUAUUCCUCGGUAAAUUGAAAUAAACAAAGCAAUUAUUUAACUUGUUUGUCAGCCAUUCAUCCAGUUCAUCGGUUCCUUUACAUCUCUAGUAGUUUUACUGUGUCAUCAAAAUGAAGGUAAAAGCUGUUAAUAGAUCUACUAGUAUUUUGUUUUUGGGUUCAUAUCUCAUUCAAUGGCAGUUGUAUAUUCAGUCAAAACAUUCAGUGGCAAAUGAUAACAUUUU